rnacentral:rRNA from 1 species
GAUGAACGCUGGCGGCGUGCCUAAUACAUGCAAGUCGAACGCUGGAAAUCUAGCUUGCUAGAUUGAAGGAGUGGCGAACGGGUGAGUAAUACAUAAGCAACCUACCCACGAAGACUGGGAUAAUCUCUGGAAACGGGGACUAAUACCGGAUAGGUAAUCGGAAGGCAUCUUCUGAUUAUUAAAGGUUAAAAACACUGGUGGGUGGGCUUAUGGCGCAUUAGUUAGUUGGUGAGGUAACGGCCCACCAAGACGAUGAUGCGUAGCCGGCCUGAGAGGGUGAACGGCCACAUUGGGACUGAGACACGGCCCAGACUCCUACGGGAGGCAGCAGUAGGGAAUUUUCGGCAAUGGGGGAAACCCUGACCGAGCAACGCCGCGUGAGUGAUGACGGCCUUCGGGUUGUAAAGCUCUGUUGUAAGGGAAGAACGGUAGAUAGAGAAUAUCUAAAUGACGGUACCUUACCAGAAAGCCACGGCUAACUACGUG